AGCAGGUUGGUGGUUCUCCCCGAGACUUCACUGUGUACCUGAAGAUACAACCAAGUUGUCAGUCCUUGUCAAAGACUGUCACUUUGCCAAAGUGCCCUGCCCUGAGAAAGAAUACACCAGGUAACUGGAGGAUCUGGAGGAGAGCCAUUCCCGCUGACUAACUGGUCAUUCUGGGCAGGUAGAGUGGAGGACAUCUUUGAAGCAAUCAGAAGAUGUGACAACUGCUGCUGGGAGCUCAUAGCUGAGAGGAAAGCAGGAGAGGAUGGAUGUGGACACAACAUAUAGCCACAAUACGACCAUAUCACAACAUAACCUUUCUGCCACAGGAUAACUGGCUUCAAGAUGUGGUAUAAACAUUGUGGAACUCAUUUUAUGAGACUCAGUGACAAUACAUGUAGGGUAAAUUAAAUUUCAGCAAUGCACCAGUGGAUGGUGGUCUCUACUCAUACAGAACAGAAAGACUAUGUGCCCCAGGAUAAUCGCCUUUUUCUCCCUGCUGUGCUCGGAAGGAAGGUCUCGGAGAUACCAGACAAGCACUGAGAGGCUCAGCAAGAGCGACUACCCUCAGGCCACUAGGAUCCUGAAAGAGGUCACUGCCACAUGUUCAGUGUGAAAUAAUCAAAAUAAAAACAUCUCACUCAA